rnacentral:pre_miRNA from 1 species
CACAUACUCCCUCCGUCCGAAAAUACUUGUCAUCAAAACGAAUAAAAGGGGAUGUAUCUAGAUGUAUUUUAGUUCUAGAUACAUCCUUUUUUGUUCAUUUUGAUGACAAGUAUUUUCGGACGGAGGGAGUAUGUU